ACUGAUCCUGGUGCUGGAGAGACCUGUCCCGCUGUGGACCUGCAAAAAUACAAAGCAGAAAAUGGAAGAACUUUACCAGAGGACAAGGCCAAGGUCAUUCUGAAGCAACUAGUUGAUGCUGCAAAGGAACUUGAGGAUAAAAACAUCUUUCAUCGGGACAUCAAGGGAGAAAACAUUCUGAUUGAGACCGGCUCAGAUGUGCCUCGUGUUCGCAUCAUUGACUUUGGACUGAGCUGCUUUGUUAAGCAGCGAUCUCUGUAUCGCGUCUUCUAUGGUACUCCUCUUCACACCCUCCCGAGUGGUACAGGAGGAGCUGCUACAGGUGUGGACCCACCACGGUGUGGCAAAUGGGAGUGGUGCUGUAUGAAGCGGUUCAUG